GGUUAAGCGACUAAGCGUACACGGUGGAUGCCCUGGCAGUCAGAGGCGAUGAAGGACGUGCUAAUCUGCGAAAAGCGUCGGUAAGGUGAUAUGAACCGUUAUAACCGGCGAUGUCCGAAUGGGGAAACCCAGUGCAAUUCGUUGCACUAUCGUUAACUGAAUACAUAGGUUAACGAGGCGAACCGGGGGAACUGAAACAUCUAAGUACCCCGAGGAAAAGAAAUCAACCGAGAUUCCCCCAGUAGCGGCGAGCGAACGGGGAGCAGCCCAGAGUCUGAAUCAGCUUGUGUGUUAGUGGAACGGUCUGGAAAGUCCGACGGUACAGGGUGAUAGUCCCGUACACCAAAAUGCACAGGCUGUGAACUCGAAGAGUAGGGCGGGACACGUGGUAUCCUGUCUGAAUAUGGGGGGACCAUCCUCCAAGGCUAAAUACUCCUGACUGACCGAUAGUGAACCAGUACCGUGAGGGAAAGGCGAAAAGAACCCCGGCGAGGGGAGUGAAAAAGAACCUGAAACCGUGUACGUACAAGCAGUGGGAGCACCUUCGGGUGUGACUGCGUACCUUUUGUAUAAUGGGUCAGCGACUUAUAUUCUGUAGCAAGGUUAACCGUAUAGGGGAGCCGCAGGGAAACCGAGUCUUAACUGGGCGUUAAGUUGCAGGGUAUAGACCCGAAACCCGGUGAUCUAGCCAUGGGCAGGUUGAAGGUUGGGUAACACUAACUGGAGGACCGAACCGACUAAUGUUGAAAAAUUAGCGGAUGACUUGUGGCUGGGGGUGAAAGGCCAAUCAAACCGGGAGAUAGCUGGUUCUCCCCGAAAGCUAUUUAGGUAGCGCCUCGUGAACUCAUCUUCGGGGGUAGAGCACUGUUUCGGCUAGGGGGUCAUCCCGACUUACCAACCCGAUGCAAACUACGAAUACCGAAGAAUGUUAUCACGGGAGACACACGGCGGGUGCUAACGUCCGUCGUGAAGAGGGAAACAACCCAGACCGCCAGCUAAGGUCCCAAAGUCAUGGUUAAGUGGGAAACGAUGUGGGAAGGCACAGACAGCCAGGAUGUUGGCUUAGAAGCAGCCAUCAUUUAAAGAAAGCGUAAUAGCUCACUGGUCGAGUCGGCCUGCGCGGAAGAUGUAACGGGGCUAAACCAUGCACCGAAGCUGCGGCAGCGACACUAUGUGUUGUUGGGUAGGGGAGCGUUCUGUAAGCCUGCGAAGGUGACCUGUGAGGGUUGCUGGAGGUAUCAGAAGUGCGAAUGCUGACAUAAGUAACGAUAAAGCGGGUGAAAAGCCCGCUCGCCGGAAGACCAAGGGUUCCUGUCCAACGUUAAUCGGGGCAGGGUGAGUCGACCCCUAAGGCGAGGCCGAAAGGCGUAGUCGAUGGGAAACAGGUUAAUAUUCCUGUACUUGGUGUUACUGCGAAGGGGGGACGGAGAAGGCUAUGUUAGCCGGGCGACGGUUGUCCCGGUUUAAGCAUGUAGGCUGGUUGUCCAGGCAAAUCCGGAUAAUCAAGGCUGAGGUGUGAUGACGAGGCACUACGGUGCUGAAGUAACAAAUGCCCUGCUUCCAGGAAAAGCCUCUAAGCAUCAGGUAACAUCAAAUCGUACCCCAAACCGACACAGGUGGUCAGGUAGAGAAUACCAAGGCGCUUGAGAGAACUCGGGUGAAGGAACUAGGCAAAAUGGUGCCGUAACUUCGGGAGAAGGCACGCUGGUGUGUAGGUGAAGUCCCUGCGGAUGGAGCUGAGACCAGUCGAAGAUACCAGCUGGCUGCAACUGUUUAUUAAAAACACAGCACUGUGCAAACACGAAAGUGGACGUAUACGGUGUGACGCCUGCCCGGUGCCGGAAGGUUAAUUGAUGGGGUUAUCCGUAAGGAGAAGCUCUUGAUCGAAGCCCCGGUAAACGGCGGCCGUAACUAUAACGGUCCUAAGGUAGCGAAAUUCCUUGUCGGGUAAGUUCCGACCUGCACGAAUGGCGUAAUGAUGGCCAGGCUGUCUCCACCCGAGACUCAGUGAAAUUGAACUCGCUGUGAAGAUGCAGUGUACCCGCGGCAAGACGGAAAGACCCCGUGAACCUUUACUAUAGCUUGACACUGAACAUUGAGCCUUGAUGUGUAGGAUAGGUGGGAGGCUUUGAAGCGUGGACGCCAGUCUGCGUGGAGCCAACCUUGAAAUACCACCCUUUAAUGUUUGAUGUUCUAACGUUGGCCCCUUAUCGGGGUUGCGGACAGUGUCUGGUGGGUAGUUUGACUGGGGCGGUCUCCUCCCAAAGCGUAACGGAGGAGCACGAAGGUUAGCUAAUCCUGGUCGGACAUCAGGAGGUUAGUGCAAUGGCAUAAGCUAGCUUGACUGCGAGCGUGACGGCGCGAGCAGGUGCGAAAGCAGGUCAUAGUGAUCCGGUGGUUCUGAAUGGAAGGGCCAUCGCUCAACGGAUAAAAGGUACUCCGGGGAUAACAGGCUGAUACCGCCCAAGAGUUCAUAUCGACGGCGGUGUUUGGCACCUCGAUGUCGGCUCAUCACAUCCUGGGGCUGAAGUAGGUCCCAAGGGUAUGGCUGUUCGCCAUUUAAAGUGGUACGCGAGCUGGGUUUAGAACGUCGUGAGACAGUUCGGUCCCUAUCUGCCGUGGGCGCUGGAGAAUUGAGGGGGGCUGCUCCUAGUACGAGAGGACCGGAGUGGACGCAUCACUGGUGUUCGGGUUGUCAUGCCAAUGGCACUGCCCGGUAGCUAAAUGCGGAAGAGAUAAGUGCUGAAAGCAUCUAAGCACGAAACUUGCCCCGAGAUGAGUUCUCCCUGAGACUUUAAGUCUCCUGAAGGAACGUUAAAGACGAUGACGUUGAUAGGCCGGGUGUGUAAGCGCAGCGAUGCGUUGAGCUAACCGGUACUAAUGAACCGUGAGGCUUAACCUU
rnacentral:rRNA from 1 species